rnacentral:lncRNA from 1 species
GAUUUGCACUUUUUGCACCAAAGUACGUUCAUCUCUGGUGACAAACGUGUCUCCUUCCUGAGCAGUAUGGAGGCUGCGUGGUCCCAUGGUGUUUAUAGCGGUAUGGAGCUGCGUGGUCCCAUGGUGUUUAUAGCCGUAUGGCGGCUGUGUGGUCCCAUGGUGUUUAGAGCAGGAUGACGGCUGCGUGGUCCCAUGGUGUUAUAGCAUUAUGGAGGCUGCGUGGUCCCAUGGUGUUUUAUAGCAGUAUGGAGGCUGCGUGGUCCCAUGGUGUUUGUAGCGGUAUGGAGGCUGCGUGGUCCCAUGGUGUUUAA